UUUUUAGUGGAGACAGGGUUUCACCAUGUUGGCCAGGCUGGUCUCGAACUCCUGAUCUCAGGUGAUCCUGCUUCAGAGUGCUGGGAUUACAGGCAUGAGCCACCAUGCUUGGAUAGAAGUGAGCCAAAUUCUUAUACAGGGUUGGGUUUGGGGACAGUUAGGAAGUGCUUCCUUCAUGAUCAUUCAGGACUUUCUCAGGUCAAUAUUUUCAAUAUUAAUUUCUUUUGGAGACUAUACAGACAGAAAAAUAAUAUUUUUCCUUCACCUCAUAUGGCAACUUCACAACAUGCCAGCUAAUUCUUUGACAUUUCUUCCCUGGAGAAGUGGAGUCUGUCUCGCCUUGAUAUUGGGCUGGUCUUUAUUACUUGUUCAUAUCCAAUUAAAUGCAGCAGAAAUACAGUUCAGCUCCCAGUUGGCUUCCUUGGACUCUCGGCCAGUGUAAGAAAUCUGAUGACGCCAGGGAGUCAUGCUAUGUGGGAUCCCAGGCCACAUGGAGAGAUCACAUGUAGGCUGUCUAUUUGAUGUCCCAGCUAAAGUCUCAGUCAACAUCUAGCACCAAUUGCCAGCAUCUGAGUGCACCAUCUUGCAUGUCCAGCCCAGUUGAGCCUUCAGAUGACUGCUGCCCCUACCAACAUCUCACAGCAAUCCUGGAACAGACCCGAGCAAGAACUAUCUAGAUGAGGCCUUCCAAAAUUCUUGACCCAUGGAGUCCAUUAGCAUAAUGAAAUAGUUUUACAACACUAAGUUUGCGCAGCAAUAGCACCUGGAACACCUCACUGUUACACCAUCACGUACGUUACACGGUUGAAUCUUGGAUUCCACUUAAACACCUUGUGGUGGAGCUUUCCUGUCAAUGUUGUUUUAAGGGCAAGGACUUUACAUACAUUAUCAUACCUUAUUUAAUCAUCACAGCCCACCUAAGAAGUAGAUACAAUUAUUAUUUCCGCUUUACAGCUCAGGAAUACUGGGCAUAACAGCCCAAGGUCACACUGCUCUUAAUUACUGUGCUUUCUAUUGUCAGUGCUGGAACAUGAGAGGCUUCAGGAGUCAGAAUUUGAGACUUUCAUGACAUAUUUGAACUGACCUCGGUCAUUUCCCUCCUAUCGUGGUUACACAGCAGAAUCUGGGCAUAAAGAAACUCAGCCAUGAUAGACUAACGACGGCCAGGGAGGAAGGAGAGGGACAACGACCAGCAAAAACGGAAGGAGAAAAGAGCUACCAAGGACGGAUCCACAAACUCUCAGCUGGAAGCCUUUCAAGCCAGAGAAACAAGCCCUAAAGUUGCCUGAAGAUAAGUCCUGGCUAUGAAUUAAUGUUGAACAACAUGAAAAGAUUACAGGUAUUGAUCCUAAAAGCACGCCCCAGUAAAAGUCCUGCAUGUAAAUCUCCACCUCAGACCCUGUUUCUCAGGUAAGCAUACUUAAAACCACUGGUGCUAGGAAUGGUCCGAGGAAGGAGACUCUAAAAUGGAAUGUGGAGCUGGGUCACCAGCUGACUGGCCACCAGGGAGGACACCCUCACUAGGGGUGGGUGGGUGGAUUACCUACAGCCCCUGGCAGGCUGUAACUUUGCAAUUGCUGCAACCUUCACUGUGGUGUACCUGCUGGAAGGCAAUGCAUUGGUAGGUCUAGUAUCUGAGGUGUCUAGGGGUUCAGGGGAAGUGGUGAUUAUAAGUACAAUAGAAUUGGAUGGCUGUUUCUGAGUGCUAUAAAAUGAAUUAGAGAAAGGGGAUGAAAGGAUACAAUGAUUAAUCACCAAUUUAAGUCUAAGUGUGAAAGCCGGAGGGCCUAUGGCAGUUUAUAAAGAGAUUCUCAUCUCGGGCAGCCAGAAGUAGAAAAAAGCCAGGAUCAAGCCUAUAACUUAAUUAUAAGGCCAGGAGGGCUCCAGAGAAGGUUAAAUUUUUCACCCCCAGCAAGUGUGCUAUAUCAAGGUCAGGACCCUGACUGGGAAGGAGUGAGAUGCCAAGACUUGGAAUAAGGAUAUAUGUGUUUCUGCACCAAAAAUCUCGAAUCCUCAGAUUCCCCUGAACCCUCUGGGCUCACUGCUCCCUAUUAAAAGCUAGUGCUACCGUUGCUUGAAGACAGUGCAGGAGGUUUUUCUUGCAAGAUGCAAGAAACAUUUCUUGCAGCAUGUUCUUAACUCAGGGUUGAUCCUAACUCCAUUCCUGGACACUAGGCCAGUAAACAGAAUGGGGAUCAGCAACUGCAUUCUCCUGGCCAAAUCCAGCCUGCAGUCUAUUUUGGUAAAUAAAGUUUUGGUGGAAUACAACCAUAUCCAUUCAAUGACACAUUGCCUAUGGCUGCCUUCCUGCUACAAUGGGAGAAUUGAGUAGUCAUGACAAAGUCCAUAUGGCCCACAAAACCUAAAAUGUUUAUGAUCGGGUUCUUUACAGGUAAAGUUUGCUGACCCCUGAACUAGAGUCAAGUACAAUGAAACUUGACAGGAGAAGUGCUGAUUGUGAUAAGGAAGGAAAAAAUAGACACCAAAGAAGAUGCAACACUGAGUCAGCAAGUACUAGCAGGAGUGGAAGAAUAUAUAUGGGAUGAAUCCUGAAGGGCCUCGGUUAAGAAGGAUGCAAUAUAUAGUUGGAUACUGGAAACUUUAUCUACAUGGGAGCACUCCCCUGAGAUAGAGAAUUUAGCACUCUGCUUGGUUGACUCUUGGGGUCUCUUUGUUGACUCUUUUCUUUCUUAGAAAUGCAGUGAUCAACUAUAUGGAGGAGAUAUGUGAGAAAUGCCUUAGCAGAUGAUGAAGAAAGAGAUCAAAAGGCUCAGAGAAGCAGGAAUGCUAUGGUGGAUAUACAGUCAGCUCUCUGUAUCUGUGAGUUCAACCAACCUCGGACUGAAAAUAUUCAGUUUUUGGGAAAAAAGUGGCAUCCCAUACUGAACACGUACAUACAUUUUUUUUCUCCUUGUUGUGAUUCCGUAGUCAGUACAGUAUAGUGACUAUUUACAUAGCAUUCACAUGGUAUUAGGUAUUAUAAGUAAUCUAGAGGUGAUUUAAAGUGUAGGGGAGGGUGUGUGUAGGUUAUAUGCAAAUCCUAGGCUAUUUUAUAUCACAGACUUGAGUAUCUACAGAUUUUGGUAUCCAAGGGAGGUUCUGGAACCAAUCCUAUAUGGAUGCUGAGGGACAGCUGUACACUGGUUCUCCCUAUCCAUGGUUUUGCUUUCCACAGUUUGUCAACUGUGGGCUGAAAAUAUUAAAUAGAAGAUUCCAGAAAGAAACAAUUCAUAAGAUUUAAAUUGCACAUUGUUCUGAGUAGUGUGAUGGAGUCUUGCACUGUCCCCCACAGGAUUUGAACUGUCCUUUUAUCCAGUGGAUACACACUGUCUACACUUCCCUCCAGUUAGCCACUUCACCAUCUCGGUGAUCAGAUCAACCAUCCAAGUAUCGCAGUGCUCGUGUUCAAGGCACCCCCAUUUUACCUAAUAAUGGCCCCAAAGCACAAGAGGGGUGAUACUGGCAAUUCAAAUAUGCCAAAGGGAAGCCAUAAAGUGCUUCCUUUAAGUGAAAAGGUGCAAGUUCUUAAGGAAAAAAAAAAUUGUAUGCUGAGGUUGCAAAGAUCUAUGGUAAGAACGAAUUUUUUACCUGUAAAAUUGUGAAGAAGGACAAAUAAAUUUACGCUAGUUUUGUGGUUAUACUCAAACUGCAAAAGUGCCACAGUGCACGUAUAGGAAAAAACAUCAUGUGUAUGGGGCUUGGUACUAUUCCUAGUUUCCGGCAUCCACCUGUGGGAUGGCCUUGGAACGUAUUUCCAAGGGGCAAUGUGUCCAUGAGAAACUCAAUGGUGGCUAUCCCCUCCAGGGGAGGGCUGAUACUGUAGACCGUGCUGGGGUUCUAUAGAACUGGGAUCUCUAAAAGCAAUGGGGAUGGUAAGAUCCCAGAUUGGUAGAGGCCAGGUGGCAGACCAUAGGUAGCAGACCAAGAAGGAUGCAAUUAUUAUCAUAAAUGGAAAGGUUGGAGUGGCAGCCAGGGGUCCUCACCCAUAGAGAGCUAUGGAGAUGGUUACUAGACCACAGUGUUAUUAAGGGUAAGAUAGAGGGGCACAUAAGAAUAAUGCUAACACUUCACUGAAGAGUCAUGGCCAAUUUCUAGAUCUAAGCCUGUCCUUUGACCCAGAACCUGUUGACUAGAGAAGUUGGUUUGAGGAGGGAGCCUGCUAUACUAUGGUAAGUGCAUAUGAUAACAAUUCCCCCAGUGUUUACUUGAAGGGAUCUGUGGCCAUUUACUUGGUUAACUGUUCAAUGGGAAAAAGGGCAAUCCUAGAUAUUUCCAGGACUCUUGGGCAUGGUCCAAACUCCACUGAUCUUCAGGAAGUUUUGUUUCAUCCAGGCCCCUUGCUGAAGUGGGAGCUUAUGAAGAGUAAGAAAUAAGUCCAGACCCAGUCGAUUUCACAAGGGAUUCUUUGGCUCCAUGGAUCCACCUGGUGGUCAUUUCUUCAGUCUCUGGAUGUAUAAUUGAAAUCCAUAGUAGUCAACAGAAUCUUCUCAUUAGUUCCUCGGUUUGUAGGGCCAACCAGUAUGGUCUGUAGUGAAGAGGGCUACAUAGAAGCCUCUGAAACUUUCUUACCAUGGCCAAGAGAAUAAAUAAAAACAAUAUGACAUCCAGGGAAAUGGCCAAGAAAUCUGGCACUCUAAACAUGCUCAACACUACAAGUGGUCCCCAUCAUGUCCCCAUUUAAUUAUCAUUCUGUCCCCCUUCAGAACCAGGGGUCCUAAUAAUUGACAGCGGAUCUCCAUGAAGUCAAGUGAUUACUUAAUAUAUCUAUUACCACUACCAAAUGUCCAAGCUUCCAGCAACAGAAACCAACACUGAACUCUUCAACAAACACAGUCCCCAGAGGAGACUAACCAGCCACUUGUUAGCAACUUGAUUACAUCGGAUCCCUUUUAAUCUGGAAAUGUCAGUAAUUGAUUUUGACUGGUAUUGACACAUAUUCCAGAUAUGGCUUUACCUUUCCUACCAACAGGGUCCCAGGCAGCAUGACCCCUACAGGCUUGCAGAUUAUAAGAUAAACUGACUUGGAAUCCUGCAUUACGUGACUGUGGACCACUGGCCCCAUUUUAUAGCAAAGGAAGAACAACAAUGGACAUAUGAUAGGAUCUACUGGUCUCAUCCCAUAACACCAUCCAGAAACUGCCUAUCUACUAGAGUUUUUUUAGUUUUUUAGUUUUUUAGCACAGCUAAAGUGCUAGCCUGCAGAUGAUGUGUUGUAAGGACAGGGUGGCAUUGAACCAAUGUCCAUUAUAUAGUGCUAUGUUUCCAGUAGGUGGGAUUGAUGGCCUCAGGAAACAAUGAUUGGGGCCUGGUGUGGUGGCUCAUGCCUGUAAUCCCAGCACUUU